rnacentral:rRNA from 1 species
AUGGGACGCAGCUACCGCCGCCGGCAGAAGGCGAGGUCAAAAUCGCCGAUGGUGCAGAGCCCAUGUUGCGGCAGCCCGGAUGCCAGCUCUGUCCGGCGCUCGCGGCCGCUAGCUAGACAAGAUAGCUCCGUCCAGCUGCUUGUCUGCAAGGCCAGCCAUCUGGCUCGAGCGAAGGCCAACGUGGCGGCUUGCUCGCUCGUGAGUAAUGCUCGGGCCAGCCUGCCAACCCGUGCGGAGGCUAGCGCGGCGUCCGGCCCGUCCGACGGAGCGGCGGCCAACUCGCUCAUCACCGGCGCCACCGACGAACACGCAUCAGUACUGUUUGAAGUAAUGUUCAGGAAAAAUAAUGAUUUGAGAGGGAAUAACAGGAUAGAAGGUCAGAUGUGGGUCCCUCGUGUCAACGGUCAAACAAAAUGUGUUGGUUUAAGCUGCCUCGUCAGCACGGACGGAAGGAGCUGGGGCGGGUCCGCAUGUGGGAGAGAUAGAAAGAGGAGAGUGGUGCACAAGGAGACAAAGUGUGCUUAUUUGCAGUGGGGGUGGUGUGUGAGGUGGCGCCGUUCCGCCUCGAUCUUCCUCCUCCUCUACCUCACCAUCAAGCGCUCCUCCUCCUCCUCCUCUGCAUCCACCUCACCACCCAGCCACUUCCCGGCUGCCAAAGGUGGCGCAAGAAAUUCUGGCAGCAUCGGUGUGUGUGUUUGCUGUUGCGGCUGGGGCGGCGGCGGCCUGCUCAUCGGCUCACGGGGCCGGAGCGGAGUACCGGUGCAGUGGUGGUGGAGCCCCUCCCGGUGGGUGACUGGGAGCGACGGCGGGCUGCAGGGCUGGCAUGCAGUGGCGGCUCGGUUGCUCGCCAGAUCUAGCAGCCGGCCAGCACGCUCGGGGCUGGUUGGACCUAUGGCGGAGGCGAGGGAGGAGGUCUGGUGGUACUGCUCGUCUGCCGGUGGCGGAAGGAUUCUGGGCGGCUUGGGUGAAAUCACCAAGUUUUCUCUUCCAUCAGCCCUCUCUCCUUCUUUAGGAUUAUUAGGACUUAGGGUAAGGCGUAGGCGCUGGGACAUUGGCGAGCGGCGGCAUGGUAAGCUCGUUUUUUAUCUUCUGUCGCUCGUACGAUUUGGUCAUCUGGGCUGUGCGGGUUGGUUCUCAUCCUCGCUUCUCUCUCUGUUUUUUCACGGAGCCGCCAUCCUCCCAGCAAGGCUAGGACCGGCAGAGGCCGAGCGGCGGACUGAUUUGGUUUGUGGUGGUCGUCGGCUUGCCGGAGAGGGGCGAGGUGGUGACCGUCGACUUGCCGGAGAGGGAGGGGGAGGAGGAGGAGCCGCGGCAUGGUCCGGCUGCUUUGGUAACUUCAUUGUUUUCUCCUCUUUGCCCCCAACACUCUUCCCCAGAGCCCCUCCCCUUCCCCUCCCCGACCCCCCCAACCACGGCAAGCCGCCGAAUCUAGUCCUCCGCCGCAGCGGUGGACCUCACACCCCGUCGGAUCUACCUUCUGCACCUUGGAACCCCCAACUGCCAACUCACCACUUCACCGGAGCCUCUUCAGUGACUGGCUUGUCCACCGCUCCAGAUCUCCUUGACCGCCAUCAUGGUCCACCGCACCGGAUCUGCUUGACCGGCGCCCUCGUCCACCACAGCGUAGGCCCUUCACUGACUCCAUCGUCCGCCCCUUCGCUGGCCCUUCAUACAAGCCCUCGUCCUCGGCAACAGAUUCGCCUCACCGAAAGCAUUGUACAACGCGUCCGCCGAAGCCUCCUCCACUGCACUGAACCCGCUCCAUGGACGCCAUAUUCAGCUCCACCGGCCCUGCUUUACCGAUGCCGCAGCCUCAUCAGGCGCCGCAACCGUAGCACCGGAGCCGCUUCAGCGACGGCGACAGCCGGCCCAAACUCAACCGCAACACGAGCACCAUCGACGAUCCUUAGCUAUCAAAUUUGCAACCACAGGAUGCUGACAAUAUUUUCAAAGAACAUUGCAACAGCAGCUAGGCUUCACAGCAACAUAUGUUUGCCAUGCUCGGCAAUAAUUCGUCCGUCGUUUACCAUAUUAUGUUGCAAGACCCCCUAUGUUGUCCGGAAUUCCAUGUUGUCCAUGUGUUGUAAUGAUCCAAAUUUUUUAGGCGAGCGCUCUCCUCCCCGUGCCGGUAGCCACUCCGGCUCCGGCGGUCACCUCCACCGCCGUGAUGCACCCUGCCUGCUUGGCCAUGGCCUCGAGGGUCUCGCUGUCAGGGUCGUCCUCGUCGGGGCUCUCCUUCCCUAUUUCUUCAGCGCCUCAUCUGGAGUGUUCCCCCGUCCAGCCUCCUCCCCCGCCCGCAGCUCAGAUCCAUCAUCGUCACGCCGGUGGUGGGCACGGCCUUCGGCCCUCUGGUCCAGGGAGAUAUCGCUGGGCCGUCGCGCCUGCCUCGGGUGGCCGAGGGUUGGCAGGUCCAGAGGCGCAGCCGUCCACGCGCGCCGCCUGCUCGCCCUGCCGCCCAGCCGCGGCGCCGUCGUGUCCUGCGUGCACUUGCCGCGCCCCAUCCUCCCCCUAAGUUCCGUGUGCCGGCGGAGCUUUUCGGUUGCUGCUACAAUUGUGGACAAGAUGACGGGCACAUCUCGGCGGAGUGCUAGAAUCCCAGUUUCUGCGUGCGGUGCCGCGGAGUGGGGCACAUCUCUCGGGGCUGCACUCGGCCUCGCAGUCCAUAUCCAGUGGAGCAGCCCUCGCGCCCACCGCCGGCCCUUCGUCCAAGGGCCCCGUCUGCUGCAGGUCUGGCCGCGUCCCCCUGCCUCGCCGAGGGGAUCUUCUCCCGUUCUGCCGCCGCCUCCCCCGGGCCCUCCUCUGCCGGGUGCCGUCAGGUUGUGGGCUGACGUGGUGCGGGGGCGCGCACGGGCCGGGCUGCCUCUGCCCGCGGGUCCGGUCCGGACUUCUCCGUCCCGUUCAUCGCCGCCGGCGGGGCUGAUGUGGAGCCGGGGUAUGAAGGCGGAGCUUGCGUGUGCGGUGCUUGUUACGAUCACCGGCACCCGCCCGCCGGUGGAUUUGGCGUCUGUUGCCGAGGCGCUUCACCGAGAAUUCGGCAUUGGCCCGGCGGACAUGUCCAUCCGCCCAUACUACCCAGAGGAUUUCCUCGUGCUUUGCAGUGAUGGGGCACUCCGGGAGCGUAUGGUGCAUGCUGGGAGGGCGCCGGUGCCCUGGUUCGAGCUCAAGCUUCGCCCGUGGAUUCGUCAAGCUCAGGCCACGGCAGCUAACCUGCCUUUCCUAGUCCCUAUCUCGCUUCAGGGCGUCCCGGCACAUGCAUGGUGCCAGAGGACGGCGGCAGUGAUCUUGCGUGGCUUGGGUUUCGUGGUGGCGGUGGACGACAGUACUACGAGAAGGCAUGACAUGGCCUAUUUCAGAGUUUGGUUGCGUACGGAUCGCCCGGAGAGGGUCCCAUGGCGCCGUCUGCUCUACAUCGACGAGCCGAGGCGCUCGCUCUGGGCCAUGGAAGGGGGCAGUCGCCGGCCGGCUGCCCGUUGUGUUUCCGUGCUCUGGUACCCUGUUGACAUCGCUAUUCUAGGGGAGCCAAAGCUGGUGGAUGAUCAGGAGGUGGACGACCCGCAUCCGCCACCGCCGCCACCACCACCUUCGCCGCCGAUGGGGAAUGAUGACUGGCACGCGCAAAAUGGUGUUGACCAGCCUUCGGGUGGUGGGGCUGGCAGCAAUGGCGGCUCGGGAGGAUCAGGUGGUAACGCGGCCUCCAUGGUUGGGUCUUCGGCGGCGCCGCCGCCGGCGGCCAGGCGCGUCGUUCAAACGGCCGCCUCUGGAGGGCGUCAGCAUGGCAGCGACAGCAGCUGCGUGGCUGCCGUCACGGGAUCAAAGCUGGUGGCUGGGCCAGUUCGGCCUCGGGCUACGCGUGGCGACCAGCUGACCGCGUGCGACCGCUUGCGGACUUGCGUGGGGAUUGGCCAGAAGGAUCUGGAGGAUCCGGACGGAUGGGCUAGCUGGGCCUGCUGCUUCCCCCGCUUCGGUGCAGCUUUCCAGGUGGAAGCCGUGGGAUGGGCGCUAGCGUUCGGGUCGGAUCUCUACAGGAGUGGAGAACAUUGUGGAUUGGUCGCCAGGAAGCGACAAAGAUCGUGUCUGUUCGAUCCAGGUGGGGUCGGUGCUGCUGGACCUGUCGGGAGAGGUGUUGUCCAAUCAGGAUGGUGGGCCACCAGUGGGGCCUUCCCGGCCUUGGGAUUUCUUUAUGGUGAGCUUAUCGGAGGAUGGGGCUAUGCAUGGGGAGGAGACGUGCAGCGAUCGCUUUUGCCCAUUCUGCCAAGGCUGGAGAGUCGGGCUCCUGCCGCCAAGGGUGGCAAACCAGCAAAGAAGAGGAAGUUGGACGUGGCACCGGUGCGGAGAAGUGCUAGGAUUGUGAUGCAUGCGACCACCAAGCAGCAGCAAGUCCUCAUCUGCAAGUUGUGCCUUGUGCAUGAGGGGGAGGUGAUCUCUGAGGAAGCCCUUCGGAUGUACGUUGAUUUAUUCUCCCGCCCCCUCUCGGACGCUCAUAUUGCCGUUGUUCAACUGAUCAAGAGAAUUGUGAACGAGGGUAGAAGCUGGUCGAUGGCAGGGCUCUUCAAAGGCAAUGUUGAGGCUGUGUUUGCAGGCUUAGCUAGGUGGACGAGUGGGGAGUAG